CGAUCUUGACGCGGAUGUUGUUGGGGUUCGCACGGCGUCCUCCGGGGGUUGGACAGCAGGAUGUUCUGCGGCUUCAGGUCACGGUGAAUGAUGCCCUUGCUGUGCAGCAGGCGCAUAGCACCAGCGAUCUGCUGCAGGAAGAGCCUGAUGGUGUCCUCGCUCAGGGUCCGCAUGGCUACAGGAAAGGCAGGCUCAGGGGCGCCUGUCACAGCCCGACAGGUGGUGUGGCAGCUCGGGGGAUGGCAGCCCCUCUUGGGGACCCGCUUCCUCUCCGGCAGCCCCGAAGGUUCAGUGGCAAGGGGGGAGGGGGGCACGACCCAGCACCCCCAGCAGAGGGAGGCAGCCUCAGAGCAGAGAAAGCCACCCAGGCUCCUUCCCGAGUCAGGUACGGGAAUGCUCACCGGGCCGGGGCCCUGCGGUGGGUGCUGGAAUGCAGGCCACAGGAGCAGCAAGCCCACCACAGCCCCCAGUCAUCAAGCACGGGUCGGAGGUGCUCUGCUGCCACAGCCCGAGGACCAGGACAGAUGGUGACACCCGCCUUCGGCUGUGCAGGCCAGAGUCUCCCCAACCCUGCCUGCCCCCACUUCCCGACACCCCACGGGUCCUGCAGCACUGCCUGCCACCCCAUUUGCCGUGUUCCUAUUUCCAGGUACAGGGUGCCCUCUCGGCCGCCACACAGCCACCCAAGUGCCUACCCUCACUACAACUCUGCUUCCUCACCCCUGACGCAGCCCACAGCCAUCCUGGAGCACGUGGGACCUGCACUAAGUCCUGGAGUGGGCAGGUGGCAGGCAGCAUCCACCGUGGCAGAGUCCCUCCCAUCUACCUCGGGGCACCAAGAGACAGGCCCCAUGCCCCGGCCAGCAAGAGCCACUUCAGCAACCCCUCCUGGCUAGCGCGCUGCCACUGAGGUGUCCACUCACUGUGACAGAGAGGCCAUGAGGGAUGCAGCAAGGGUCAUCUUGGGUGCCUCAACACAUCACCCACCUCCUGGGACUUGGG
rnacentral:lncRNA from 1 species